rnacentral:rRNA from 1 species
GGGGAAUAUUGCACAAUGGGCGAAAGCCUGAUGCAGCAACGCCGCGUGAGUGAUGAAGGCCUUCGGGUUGUAAACUUCUUUGACGAGGGACGAAAGAAAUGACGGUACCUCGAAAACAAGCCACGGCUAACUACGUGCCAGCAGCCGCGGUAAUACGUAGGUGGCAAGCGUUGUCCGGAUUUACUGGGUGUAAAGGGCGCGUAGGCGGGAUAGCAAGUCAGAUGUGAAAUGCCAGGGCUUAACCCUGGAGCUGCAUUUGAAACUGCUGUUCUUGAGUAUCGGAGAGGCAGGCGGAAUUCCUAGUGUAGCGGUGAAAUGCGUAGAUAUUAGGAGGAACACCAGUGGCGAAGGCGGCCUGCUGGACGAAAACUGACGGUGAGGCGCGAAAGCGUGGGGAGCAAACA